UCCAUGGUGACGUGGAAUCUGAAGGAAAUCCUAGGCAAACCUUCGGUCUGACGAACAGAAAUCAUAUAAGAGGCGACAUAUGUGGAUAAGACUGCGAAAGAAGUUGAAGUCCAAUAGCUAUUACAAAAGCAUAUGGCGUAUAUAUGGCAGAUGGAUGGAGGAAAAGCGUUCGUA
rfam:Amphibacillus xylanus NBRC 15112 DNA, complete genome.